UGGGUAACCUGCCCUUCACUCUGGGAUAACUCCGGGGAAACCGGGGCUAAUACUGGAUAUGACUCGAACAGGCACCUGUUUCGGGUGGAAAGAUUUAUUGGUGGAGGAUGGACUCGCGGCCUAUCAGCUUGUUGGCGAGGUAAUGGCUCACCAAGGCGACGACGGGUAGCCGGCCUGAGAGGGUGACCGGCCACACUGGGACUGAGACACGGCCCAGACUCCUACGGGAGCAGCA
rnacentral:rRNA from 1 species